AUCAAAGGUCUUAAGAUUCAGGACGAAAUACAAAGGAAGGUGUUAAGGAGUGCAGCGCGUUAUCUAACCAUGACCAGAGGAGAAGCCGUUCAGUACCCAUGUUCUUCCGUGCUAAGAGAGUCGCUGUCAUCUCUCAUACUUCAUACAGGUUCCCGUGGGAGGAAGAAUCGUGGAAUAUGGUGUUCCAGCAUGUGUCAGGAUGUUGAAUAGGAGAACCAGCCUACAGGAGACUCUUCAGCGUAUAUUCAGUGGAAGGAAGACAUAUAUUAGAUACUUAGAACAAUAUAUUAAGAAAAAUGAUGCGGAGGCGGAUCCCACAGAGACGCGGGGAGGCAAAGGCAACGCUACGCUGGAAGGAAGGUGUGGAAAAUAGCUGGCCGGCGCUACUGUCCCGCUCCUCACCUGAACACCUGAGUCACUCCGCGCUAUGAAUCAGCAAGCCACGAGCGUCACCUGCACUUAUUACAGUGUGGACGUGUUCAAGGAAGCAAUACACGAAGCACUGAUGAGCCUGCGGUGCCAAGUCUAUACUCCACUGCUUUUUCA